CCGGUACACACGUGUUACAANAGGGGGGUACGAGAGGGCCGCUACCACGCGAGUGGAUGCCAAUCCCUAAAACCCCUCUCAGUUCGGACUGGAGUCUGCAACCCGACUCCACGAAGCUGGAUUCGCUAGUAAUCGCGCAUCAGCCACGGCGCGGUGAAUACGUUCCCGGGCCUUGUACACACCGCCCGUCAAGCCAUGGGAGCCGGGGGUACCUGAAGUGCGUAACCGCGAGGAUCGCCCUAGGGUAAAACUGGUGACUGGGGCUAAGUCGUAACAAGGUAAC
rnacentral:rRNA from 1 species